AUUGAACGCUGGCGGCAGGCCUAACACAUGCAAGUCGAGCGGAGCGGCGGACGGGUGAGUAAUACCUAGGAAUCUGCCUGGUCGUGGGGGAUAACGUUCGGAAACGGACGCUAAUACCGCAUACUAUCUGAUGAGCCAAGGUCGGAUUAGCUAGCUGGUGUGGUAAUGGCUGACCAAGGCUACGAACCGUAACUGGGCUGAGAGGAUGGUCAGUCACACUGGAACUGAGACACGGCCCAGACUCCUACGGGAGGCAGCAGUGGGGAAUAUUGGACUAGGGGCGAAAGCCUGAUCCAGCCAUGCCGAGUGUGGGAAGAAGGUCUUCGGAUUGUAAAGCACUUUAAGUUGGGAGGCGUUACCGACAGAAUAAGCACCGGCUAACUCCGUGCCAGCAGCCGCGGUAAUAC
rnacentral:rRNA from 1 species